AGCAGCCGCGGUAAUUCCAGCUCCAAUAGCGUAUAUUAAAGUUGUUGCAGUUAAAAAGCUCGUAGUUGAAUUUCGGGAUCAGUACGCUGGUCGUGCCUCUGGUAUGUACUGGUGUCACUGAUUCCUCCCUUCUGACGAACCAUCAUGCCAUUCACUUGGUGUGGUGGGGAAUCAGGACUGUUACUUUGAAAAAUUAGAGUGUUUAAAGCAGGCUCACGCUUGAAUACAUUAGCAUGGAAUAAUGAAAUAGGACGUUGAUCCUAUUUUGUUGGUUUCUAGGAUUGACGUAAUGAUUAAUAGGGAUAGUUGGGGGCAUUAGUAUUCAAUUGUCAGAGGUGAAAUUCUUGGAUUUAUUGAAGACUAACUACUGCGAAAGCAUUUGCCAAGGAUGUUUUCAUUAAUCAAGAACGAAAGUUAGGGGAUCGAAGACGAUCAGAUACCGUCGUAGUC
rnacentral:rRNA from 1 species